CAAAAUUAAUAUUCAAUAAAAGCCCUUUCCCAAAAAACUCUUUCUUGCCUGGGGACCAGUCUGCCUUUGUAGGACUAACAAGUUAGCUACAAGAU